rnacentral:tRNA from 1 species
GAGAUAAAAUUUAUGAACUGCUAAAUCGUAUACACCGAGCCUAAAAUACUCGGACCUCUC